AAAUUAUAAUAUUUUUAGAUGGCAGAAAGUAAACAACGCACAGUUUGCUAUCCAUAUUUCCAAUAUUCUUAACUUUUUCGCACACUUUUAUUUCACUUUUUUUUUUAAUAAAUAAAGAAAUAUCAGCUGUCUAAAUACACAAGUCUGCCGUCUGUCUCCAUAAAAUUUCAGUGCGCAUUAGCGUUGCUUAAGGCGCAUUAAUUUUGCUCGUCUGUCAGGGCUAUAACUCCGAAAUUCAUGCUAUUUUAAAGUUUUCCUUCGUUAAAGGCAAAUGCGCUAGAGAAACGUCCCGUGAGAUGAAUGGUGUUUUGGGGGAUGGUACUCUAUCAGUUCGAACAGCGGAGGAAUGGUUUUGACGAUUCAGAGCGGGAGUUGCGACGUCAAACGACUCCACCACUGUCAAACUCGUCGACACACAAAAAAAGACAAGUAUUUUUUAAAUAUUUUUAUUUCUCUGAAAUGUAAGUUGAAUCUUCAGAUUCAACUACAUACAUAUGUACAUAUAUAAGAUAUGCCGGGUCGUUGAUGCUGAGGAAUGUCAAGUCAGCACAACGGCUUCAGGUAAAUUUAGGAAAUAAGAUUUUUGUAAAGAAUAAAAUGAUGAUUAAUAAACUGGACGGCAAGCCGCUCAGUACGGUAAA